GAUUAUGGCUCAGGAUGAACGCUAGCGACAGGCUUAACACAUGCAAGUCGAGGGGCAGCACAGGUAGCAAUACCGGGUGGCGACCGGCGCACGGGUGAGUAACGCGUAUGCAACUUACCUAUCAGAGGGGGAUAACCCGGCGAAAGUCGGACUAAUACCGCAUGAAGCAGGGGCCCCGCAUGGGGAUAUUUGCUAAAGAUUCAUCGCUGAUAGAUAGGCAUGCGUUCCAUUAGG
rnacentral:rRNA from 1 species